CGUGCAUAACACAUUCAAGUCGAACGGAGUUAAUCGAAUUAAUCCUUCGGGAAGCGUUUGGUUAACUUAGUGGCGGACGGGUGAGUAACGCGUGAGCAACCUGCCUCUGUGUGUGGAAUAACGUUUGGAAACGAACGCUAAUACCGCAUAACGCAUAGGAAUCGCAUGUUUUUUAUGCCAAAGAUUUAUUGCACAGAGAUGGGCUCGCGUCUGAUUAGAUAGUUGGUGGGGUAACGGCCUACCAAGUCGACGAUCAGUAGCCGGACUGGGAGGAGUAACGGGCACAUGGGAACAGAGAAACGGACCAGACUCCUACGGGAGGAAGCAGUGGGGAAUAUUGGGCAAUGGGCGAAAGCCUGACCCAGCGACGCCGCGUGAGGGAAGACGGUCUUCGGAUUGUAAACCUCUUUUAUUAGGGACGAAUUAUGACGGUACCUAAUGAAUAAGCCACGGCUAACUACGUGCCAGCAGCCGCCGUAAAAC
rnacentral:rRNA from 1 species